UGGUGAUGACUAAGCGGAAACCAUGUGUGAAUUAUGUGAGUAGAUUUAAAUAGAAUCAGUGUUUACUUAGUCGUUUUAACAUAGAUGUAUUUUUAUCAUUCACUCGAGUUAUAAGGAUUAAAACCUAUUGUGUACAAAGAAAUAUUUACUACCGUAAAGGAAUGAGAAAGUGUAUAAGUGUGCAAAUGGAGAUAUUUCAAUCAAUUCUGAUACUGCAGCUAUUCCUCGUAACAGUUAUAAAAGGUCAAUGUUUUGGAAAUGGCACCUGUGUCUGUCAUUGUGUAGACUGCAGUGAAAAAUGUGAGACUUGUUUGCCUGGUUGGGGUGGAUCCAAAGACUACAAUUGUCAAAGGCGAAACGUGUUAUACCGGACAGCAGCAGGAGAUGAUAAAGACGAUCAAAAUAAAUUACUAGAUGAAGAUCUUUCAACUUCUUUAAAGAAAGAGGGCUCUAAGCCAUAUUUGAGAGUCCAACUAAAUCAGUCAAUAACAAUUGACAAACUGGACAUUACCCUUCUUCUCGAACGUGAUGUAAAUUAUACAAUUUACAUCAAAGACAUGGAGUAUGCUAGGACUAAUGAUGUGACAUGCAACAAGUUGGAAAAGGGCAACAACAUCGGGAAGAAAACUAUGUCAAUAACUUGUUAUAAGCCGCUUUCUGGAAAAUAUCUUGAAAUCGUUUCUUCAAAGAACGCACGUGUAGAAGUGUUUGACAUUCAAUAUUUUGAAUGCACCAACGGAACUUUCGGUGAAAAUUGUAGCAGUACAUGUGCGUCAGAUUGUGGUGUUGACUGUAAUAUCACUGCAAUGGAUUGCGUUUGUCAAAAGGGUUUCUUCGGUAAAUUUUGCAACCAGACAUGCCCGGAAUCGUGCGAUGAAAAUGGAUGCAAUUUUCACACAGGCGAAUGCUUAAGUUGCAAGAAUGGAUAUUUUGGACCUCUGUGUGAGAAAAACUGCUCAUUUGGUUGUCAGGAAUCUUGUGGCAAGGUAUCUGGAAACUGUACAUGCAAACCAGACUUCUACAAAGCUGACUGCUCUGAAAAAUGUUCAUUAAAUUGUAAUAGUAAGGAAUGCGAAAAAAGUGAGGGAAAAUGUUUGGCUUGCAAAGAUGGAUAUUACGGUGAUUUCUGUAAAAAUAUAUGCAUUGGAAACUGUGAACAAGAAUGUGAAAGAUCUACAGGUAUAUGCCGUACAUGCAGAAAAGGUUUUUACGGUCCUUCCUGUAAUAUAUCCUGUAUGGAGAAUUGCAUGGGAGACACCUGUUCUAGAAAGGGUGACUGUCAUCAGUGUAGACCAGGAUACAAAGGGAGACAAUGCAAUGAACAAUGUCCAAAUCAUUGUACACAAUGCAAGCAAUAUGAUUAUGAAUGCUCUCAAUGUGAAAAUGGGUGGUUCGGCCAAGGAUGUGCUAGAAAGUGCCCAAGUACAUGUGGAGGAAAUGGUUCGUGUGAAAUUAAAUCGGGUAGAUGUUAUGUGUGUGUCAUAGGAUAUAAUGGCAGUAAGUGUGAUCAGAAAUGCAGUCCAUAUUGCGAUUUAAAUGCGGCAUGUGACAUUGACACUGGGGUCUGUGAACGUUGUAUUGCUGGUAGACAUGGCAGUCACUGUGAAAGACAAUGUAGCCAUAACUGUUUAAACUUUACAUGCCUAAGUAAUCAAACAUGCAGUCACGGAUGUAGCGAUGGUUGGUUUAGCGAUAAGUGUAACCAAGAAUGUUCUGCAGCUAUCCACGAUUGCACAAAAUGCUCCUUAGUCGACAGUAACAGUCCAGUAUGUCAUAAAUGUGCAGAUUCAUGGUUUCUUAAUAAAUCGCAAUGCCUCAAGUGUCCAGAAAACUGCUCCUCUUGUGAAUCUAAAACACAUUGCACGAUGUGUAGUAAUGAUGUUAGCUACGGUAAAACAUGUAACAUUCCGUGCAGUGGUGAUUGUAUAAACAAGACGUGUGACAUGACUGGGAAUUGUCUACAUGGCUGUAACAACAAUAAAUACGGUAUUGAAUGUGAUAAGGACUGUGCAGAAGGAUGCAGUUUAUGCAAUGAUGCAUUUAGCUGCUCUAAAUGUGAAGAAGGAUGGCUUAGUCUACCUAGUCAACAAAGUCCAAAGGCCUACAAAAUGUGUUGGAGCAUUCAGUACAUUUCAUCUCUGAUUGAAAUGGAAAAUGUUUCGUUUCAUUCAAAUCAUAUGGGUAAGUUCUUCCCUUUUAAUGACAGAUAUAUAUCCGUAUGUGACAGAAUGCUCAGAAUUCAUACAGGUUUUGUACAUGGUCCCUGCACAAUGUGUUACACAUUAGAGAGAAUGUAUAGAUGGCAGGAAAAAAUCUCCUAAAACUGCAAUUACGCAUAGUAAUAUGCAUUAAAACAAUUCCAGCUGUAUUACGAAACAGAAGUAAGUAUAUUUUAUACUACCAUCUUCAUAUUGAACUGGAAUUGUGUGUCUCUUUGUUAUUUGAAUUGAGAAUAUACAUGUGUGAUGAGGCUUACCCAGAUUAAGAUGAAUUCUCAAUCCGACGUUUAAUGAUGCUGCCAUAAAGAGCAGUUGAACGUCUAAACAUGCACACCCCUGUUAGAAAUACAAACUUUGAAGAUUUGACAUGAUAAAAAAUAUAAAUUAUAUAUUAGGUUUGGGUGAUUCUAUAUUACUCGUCUUACUUUUUCCCUCCUUUGAUUUUAAAAUUUGAUUAUCACAUAUGUUUGAAAUAGUAAAUCUGAGAAAAAGUACACAAUAUAGUCCACACUGUAACAAAACCAAAUGAAGAUUGACGAAACUUAGCAGUAAAUUUUAUUGGUGGAAACAAGACUUUGUUAAGAACAAUAUCAUUUUCACUGAACAAGUUUCUCGAAGUCAGCCCUACUUUGUCGGAGUUUUCCCUCACCAGCUAGAAGAUACCAAGUAAGCUGUAUUAAUUUUUUAAUAUACUCGCUUUUGAAAGAAUAUGUAUAAGCUUUACUUGGUAACAUCACCAAUAUCUGAGAUGAUAAAGAUGAGACGAUGGAAAUGGAUCGGACAUGUCCACAGGAUGGGAGCAACAUCAAUCCCAAAGAUCGCCAUGAGAUGGACACCAGCAGGAAAGAGAAAUAGAGGGAGACCAAAGGAAACAUGGCGGCGAUCAGUAGAGAAAGAGAUGAAGGAGUGUGGAUGGACUUGGGGCCGGAUUCAGAACAUGGCAGCAGACAGACAGAGAUGGAGAUCCUCAGUGAAGGCCUUAUGUGCUUUGUAGCACGAAGAGAAUUAAGUAAUUGCUUCUACAGGAAUUGAGGUUGGAGCAGAUUUUAAGAAAAUCAUAUCUGCACCAAAUGAAGGGCGAAGAUGACAAACUGAUCAAUCUCAUAACUCCUAUAAGCAAUACAAAACAGAGAGUUGGGCAAACACGGACCCCUGGACACAUUAGAGGAAUGGAACGGAUUGUAAAUACACUGAUUGUAAAACCAGGAUAAUCAGAGGGACACCAACCAAUCUGUCAGAGCCUGUGCCCCUUACAGACUCCAUAGAGUGACGGUCUAACAAGCAGUAUGAAACAUGGCAGGGAGUUGAGGAUUGCCGCGUCCACGAUAACAAACUUCUGCUCCUCUGGAUAUGUUAUAAUGGAAGAAACUGCUGCUGCGAUUAAGACGUGUUUAACAUUCCGAAUCUGCAGACAAUCUCUAAGGCGUAUCCUUGUCGACACCAACAACGGUCUCACUUGUAGGUAUACUGUAGGUAAAACUGGACAGUACGGUAGGUCCCUAAUUUUCCUUUUUAGUUCGAUGAUGCUGCAUUGAAUUCCUGAUGUUUGCUUAAGCCUGCGUCUGAGUUUCAGUCAUGCCUCAUGGCGUCGCCAUUUUGAAAAAACGUGCGAAUUCAAUUUCAUUUACAAUUUAGCUAUUAAUUAUCAAUUAAUAAGUAUUAAUUACAAUUUCCUUUAUAAUUACUGGAGUUAGAUAUAAUUAUAAAUAUAAACAGAUACAUGUAUAUAUAAUUUAUAAAAGUUUACUGUAGUUCAUCAUGCUCCGAGUUAAACGGAGGGCCAGGACCGCUCCAUAUAUUGGUCCAGCGGCUGGGACAAGAAGAGCCGCAUCCAGGACGACGACGGCUCACGCCUCUGCCAGACCUACAACGGUGACAACUCACAUGGCCACUGACCUCCCUACUCAGCUUAGCCUGCCAGUCAUCCCUCUAAGCACUCCGCCAGUUGUGGACCCUCAUCAACAGGUUAUGGCUAACUUCCCAAUUAAUGAAAACAGGGGAGAACAAAUUUCAGGUGAAAAUGUUACCAAUACCAUGCACUCUUAUCAUGAGCCUGUCAUAGCACCACUAGUUAGUGUUGGCGACGACUUGGCCGUUCACAUUGAACAAACAAUCAAGGAAAAAAUUUGGAAGCGAGAUUACAUUGAAUUAUCUAAGUUAAUACAGUCUGAAUUUGAAAUUUCCUAUGAACAACGGGUUUCAGUUGUCAAUGGCCAGCUUGUCAUCCAACCAAAAAAUCCACCUAAACGAAUUACAUCAAUACAUACUUGGACAGAUGCAUUUUUAAUCUUCGCAAGUAUAUACUUAACGAGGCACCCUGUUGAUCUCCAGGGCAUCCUCAAGUAUAUGCACAUAGUUAGACUGGCAGCAAACAGAUCAGUUAGUGGGUGGAUUGAAUAUGAUAGGCAAUUCAGGCUACGCCUGUCAAAGAAUCCCAACAUUUCCUGGGGUUCCGUUGAUGCUGAGCUAUGGGUCUUGUUUAUUUCUAACCAAAGCCAGUCACCCCCCACUCAACCGACCCAUAAAUGUUUCGACUUUAACUUUACGGGUUCAUGCCUUCGCCAGCACUGUAAUUACCUCCACUUGUGCAUGUAUUGUAAUAAGUCGCAUCCUAGACUACAUUGUUGGGUCAAUCAAAGUAAUCCAUCUCCUCAGGCUAACAUCCCAAACCCAACAUCCAACCCUCAACCCAGGCAACCGUUAAGUCAGCACAAUUUUCGUCCCUUCAACCCCCGAGCACAAUCCAAUUCCCAUCAACGUCAAAGAAAUAUGGGACCUAGGUUCAACACCCAUUAAUCAUUCCAUUUUGAAAAAUUACCUUCGUGAUCAUCCUGAUACUCAGUUAGUCCAGCACGUUGUGAAUAGUUUUAGACAUGGUUUCAGUUUAAAUUACACAAGAUUAAGACUCUUGGUUUCGGCAAAAAAUUUGAAAUCUGCAACUCAGCAUCAGGUAGAAUUACUCCAGAUAAUUCAUAAAGAAAUUAGUUUAGGUCGUAUGGCUGGUCCUUUUCACCAUCGCCCUUUGUCAAAUUUAAGGUGCAACCCAGUUGGGGUUUUGCCUAAAAAAGAUGGGAGUUGGCGACUAAUCACCAACUUAUCUGCUCCAAUUGGAAAUAGUGUAAAUGAGUUUAUCGACCCGAAAUUGUGUUCAGUUGCUUACGCAUCAUUUGAUCAGGCUAUCCAAAUGAUUCAAAGGUUAGGGCAGGGGGCAUUAUUGUGCAAAAUGGAUUUAUCUCGUGCCUUUAGGUUGUUACCAGUACAUCCUGCUGAUUUUUCUUUGUUGGUUAUUUGUGUAGGUGAUCAAUUCUUCAUUGAUAAAUGCAUGCCAUUCGGUUGCUCUAUUGCUUGAGCAACUUUUGAGAAGUUUUCCUCAUUACUACAUUGGAUAGUAGCUACCCAAUCACACAACAGUAAUAUUAUUCAUUACCUCGACGAUUUCUUGUUUGUUGGUAAGCCAUUGUCUGAUCAUUGUUAUAACCUCUCUCUAGUUUUCAGACAAACUUGUAGAGCAAUCGGGGUUCCAAUCAAUGACAAAAAAACUGAGGGUCCAACUACCAAACUUACAUUUCUAGGUUUGGACAUUGACACAAUUAGCCAAACAAUCUUCAUCCCUGAACAGAAGUGCAUUGAGCUCAAACAAGCCUUGGUCUAUUUAUCGUCGUCCAAGAAGGUCACACUUACACAAAUGCAGUCUUUGUGUGGUUCUUUAAAUUUUUUUGCAAAGGUAGUCCCAGGUAGUCGGGCAUUCAACCGUCGAUUUUAUAAUUCUACCAUUGGUAUCCGUAAACCACACUUUCGACUUCGUGUCACAAUAGGCAUGAAACAAGAUGCAAGGGUUUGGUUAGACUUCCUUGAAAACUUCAAUGGCCGUGCUCCAUUUCCAGAUCUCCUAUGGUCAUCAAAUACUGCGUUAAACCUAUUUACGGAUAGCUGCGCAUCUUGCGGAGGCGGUGCAUUUUGCAACAACAGUUGGCUUGUUAUUAAGUGGCCUAGUACCUGGGAUUAUCAGGUUCUCCGAGACAUAACAUUCCUCGAGUUAGUUCCUAUUCUGUGCGCAUUCUGGGUAUGGGCGGGUAGCUUUGAGUCUAAGAAAUUGUUACUACAUACAGACAAUUUGGCUUUGGUCUACAUCUUAAAUUCACAAUCGAGCAAAUCGCAAAGGGUCAUGCAGUUAGUACGCCCAUUAGUGUUGCUCUGCUUAAGACACAAUAUACAAAUAAAAGCGGUUCAUAUUCCUGGAUGUCGGAAUUCCAUUGUUGAUGCUAUUUCUCGCUUUCAGUGGGACCGCUUCAAAUCCCUUGCCCCACAGGCAGAGAAAUAUCCGUCACGGAUACCUCCAGCAAUAUGGCAAGUCUUGAGUAUCGAAUAGAAGCACAUUUAGCAGCAGCAGUUUCCAAAAACACCGCGGCUACUUAUAGCAGGGCUCUAGACUCAUUUACAGAAUUUCGGUCUAAGUACAACCUUCCAUCAUUUUGGCCACCUUCUGUGGACCAAAUUGUUUAUUACUUAGCUUAUCUAUCAGCAAAGAACAUAUCAUUUUCCACAGCAAAAUGCUACUUAAGCGGGCUAAGUUACCAUUUGCAAAUUCAAGGUAAAGAAGACACAACUAAAGUUUUCAUUGUUAAGAAGAUGUUAGAAGGCAUGCAUCGUUUAAACCCAUUAAAGGACAUAAGGGCACCUAUUUCGUUGCCCCUAUUAAAUCGGGUUACAUUGGCACUUCCUUCAGUCUGUAAAAAUUAUUACGAGGCAACUUUGUUUACUGUUGCUUUUCAUUUGGCCUUCUUUGCAUUACUUAGAGUUAGCGAGCUAACAGUCUCUACAAACACUUCAUACGCAAUUUCCAUUCAUGGUCUUGGGUUCUAUAAGAACCAAAUUAAACUGCGUAUUAGGGGUUCGAAGACUGAUCAGUAUGCAGUGGGUUCCAUUGUUCAGAUAGAUCUCAAUCAGGAAACCUCUACACUAUUUCAAUCGUUACAACAUUAUCUGCACUCUAGACCAACAUCACCUGGCCCUUUAUUACUCCACCUAAACGGUAAGCCACUCACUUCUUAUCAGUUUACUUCAAUCUUGCACAAAGCAUUACGGUUCAUUGAAGUCGACACAUCUACAUUUAAAUUCCAUUCAUUUAGAAUAGGGGGUGCAACCCAUAUGCAUCUCUCGGGGGUCCCAGAAGAACAUAUCAAAAUUAAGGGUAGAUGGAAGUCUAACGCAGUUAAAUCCUAUAUUCGUGUAUGAAUUGUCAUUAUAGGCUUGGUGCUUGCAACAUUAUACUGGUCACUAACAGUAUGUUAAGUUUGCAGGUAUCCACACAGUCGUAUGGAUAGUCGGAUCAUCUUUGAUAUAUCAUGCAUGCUACUACACUAAACCCUAUUUUGGUAAUCAGCACCUCAACCUACUAUCCAAGAACAUUGCCAUUAGAUGGUUUGGUUAGAGGGGCAUGACCUGGGAGCAUAUGGAAUCUAAGAUCCAAAGGCUAGUUGUUCAAUUUGGUCCUCCCGAUGAUUUGAUGUUACAUUGCGGUGGUAAUAGCAUCGGGACCAUGUCACUUAGACAAUUGCAAAGAUUUAUGAAGCAAACUAUGUAUACACUUUAUCAAUUAUUGCCAAAUUGCAGAUUCAUUUGGUCUGAAAUCUUGCCUCGUACUUAUUAUCGUCAUAUGUUCUCAUUAAAUUCAGCAGAAAUGUCCCGCAAGAGAAUAAAUAGUGCAAUGAGUGCAUUUAUCAUUCAACGGGGUGGGGGUUAUAUUUCGUACCCUGAUCUCAAAUCAUGUUCCCCGGUCUUGUUUCGAGACGGGGUACACUUAACUGAUAUUGGUCAAACUAUAUUCCUGAACACCAUUCAGGGGGGCCUUUUCACUAUUAUUAGGGAGGGGGUUCAGCACUUUCCGCCUCGAGCAGUUAAUCGAGGUCAGUUGAUCCAUACUGGGCAGUUCGUCAUGGCAGGGGCCAAAAUUUGCAGCAUGUGGCUGAUGUCUAUGCGCACCUUGCUUCACUGCAGGUUCUCGUCGACAUGUGGCCGAAUUUUGAACUUUGAAGCCUGUCCUAGAUUUCUGUUGUUUUCCAGGGUCUGGGGCCAAUAAUUGGGCUUCUGUCAUUUUCUCAUUUUCAUUGAUAUUGCUAUGCCAUAUACUGUUGACAAAGUCGGUGUAGCUCAUUGUCGUUGUACAUUAUUGGUGUUUAUAUUUGUCAUUGAUUCACCUUGUAUACUCAUUUGCCAUAGCUCGUGGCACCGUUGUUAUUGUCAAGAAUUUGCUCUAUAUAUAUAAAGGCAUGACAAAAACUGCCAAAUCAGUCUUGGUGUUGAUGUGUCGUCAUAAUCAGAGUUAACUCCUUAGAGUUCACUCCUUUUAUGCCGACCAGCAACUCAUCAUCAACAUAUACAAAGAAAGAUAACUCUCAUGUAAUGAGAGUGACAUGCACGUCUUCAGUACAUGCUUAUAAGAGCAUGCGUAACGAGGAAGCUUCCUUUUCCAACUUGUAGCUGCUGCGAUUAAGACCCAUCCCACCCAACCCGUUUCUGAUAUAUUUCGGAUAUUUCUGUUUUUGUUUCAAUUUUCUUUUCAGGUAUUGGGCGAUCCUUGGAAGCAUACCGAUACAUAAUAGACGUCGUGGCUUUAUACAGAUGUGUAUUCUGGUGGAACCGUUGGUUCUUACACUGACUUGGCCGAAUUUUGAACUUUGAAGCCUGCCCUAGAUUUCUGUUGUUUUCCAGAGUCUGGGGCCAAUAAUUGAGCUUCUGUCAUUUUCUCAUUUUCAUUGAUAUUACUAUGCCAUACACUGUUGACAAAGUCGGUGUAGCUCAUUGUUGUUGUACAUUAUUGGUGUUUAUAUUUGUCAUUGAUUCACCUUGUAUACUCAUUUGCCAUAACUCGUGGCACCGUUGUUAUUGUCAAGAAUUUGCUCUAUAUAUAUAAAGCCAUGACAAAAACUGCCAAA